rnacentral:ncRNA from 2 species
CUGAGCAUGGGAGAUGGCAUUCCUCCUGCAACUAUCCCAACCGCCGCUCCGGCUGAUGAUGCCUGCUGAUUC